AUUGAACGCUGGCGGCAGGCCUAACACAUGCAAGUCGAGCGGAUGAAGGGAGCUUGCUCCUGGAUUCAGCGGCGGACGGGUGAGUAAUGCCUAGGAAUCUGCCUGGUAGUGGGGGAUAACGUCCGGAAACGGGCGCUAAUACCGCAUACGUCCUGAGGGAGAAAGUGGGGGAUCUUCGGACCUCACGCUAUCAGAUGAGCCUAGGUCGGAUUAGCUAGUUGGUGGGGUAAAGGCCUACCAAGGCGACGAUCCGUAACUGGUCUGAGAGGAUGAUCAGUCACACUGGAACUGAGACACGGUCCAGACUACUACGGGAGGCAGCAGUGGGGAAUAUUGGACAAUGGGCGAAAGCCUGAUCCAGCAAUGCCGCGUGUGUGAAGAAGGUCUUCGGAUUGUAAAGCACUUUAAGUUGGGAGGAAGGGCAGUAAGUUAAUACCUUGCUGUUUUGACGUUACCAACAGAAUAAGCACCGGCUAACUUCGUG
rnacentral:rRNA from 1 species